AAAGUUUUGGUAAUAAUUUCUCUUAAAUCCAUGUUUGACUUUGAAAAGAGUUAAAGUUGGAUCCACCCUACCUACUUCCAUAUGUAAAAACUGCAAAUUAUAUUACUCCUGCUCAAACGAAAUCUGUAGAGUGAAUUGUAAGCUGCUGAUUUCAUGACAUACAGAUUUGAAGCUAAAGUUCAGGGGAGCACCAUCACAGGUAUUAAACUGCUAUAAUUUUAUAAUUUAACACUUUAGUAGCCACUUGUCAACCUAGAGAGUAGACUGUAUCUUACACAAAUGGAAAUCCCAGACAGCGCAUG